AGAGUUUGAUCCUGGCUCAGAUUGAACGCUGGCGGCAGGCCUAACACAUGCAAGUCGAGCGGAUGAGUGGAGCUUGCUCCAUGAUUCAGCGGCGGACGGGUGAGUAAUGCCUAGGAAUCUGCCUGGUAGUGGGGGACAACGUUUCGAAAGGAACGCUAAUACCGCAUACGUCCUACGGGAGAAAGCAGGGGACCUUCGGGCCUUGCGCUAUCAGAUGAGCCUAGGUCGGAUUAGCUAGUUGGUGAGGUAAAGGCUCACCAAGGCGACGAUCCGUAACUGGUCUGAGAGGAUGAUCAGUCACACUGGAACUGAGACACGGUCCAGACUCCUACGGGAGGCAGCAGUGGGGAAUAUUGGACAAUGGGCGAAAGCCUGAUCCAGCCAUGCCGCGUGUGUGAAGAAGGUCUUCGGAUUGUAAAGCACUUUAAGUUGGGAGGAAGGGCAGUAAGUUAAUACCUUGCUGUUUUGACGUUACCGGCAGAAUAAGCACCGGCUAACUUCGUGCCAGCAGCCGCGGUAAUACGAAGGGUGCAAGCGUUAAUCGGAAUUACUGGGCGUAAAGCGCGCGUAGGUGGUUCGUUAAGUUGGAUGUGAAAGCCCCGGGCUCAACCUGGGAACUGCAUCCAAAACUGGCGAGCUAGAGUAUGGCAGAGGGUGGUGGAAUUUCCUGUGUAGCGGUGAAAUGCGUAGAUAUAGGAAGGAACACCAGUGGCGAAGGCGACCACCUGGGCUAAUACUGACACUGAGGUGCGAAAGCGUG
rnacentral:rRNA from 1 species